ACAAGAAGCUAAAAGUUCUGGACUUGGGAGACUUAUUAUUGGAUGGUGGUGAAGAGAGUGUAGAUGGAGAUCCAAACAUGUCAAUGAACUUGCUUUAUGUUGUUGGCACGGUCAAUGUUGCAUAUCUUGAUGAACUUCGGAAGGCGAGGCUUAAUCUCGACAUUAGUGACUCAAAAGGAAUAACCCCUUUUGUAAUCUAAUUAUCUAUUUAUACUAUCAUCUUUCUAAUAGCGAUCUAUUGGGAUGGAGGAAACGUCUGCCACAUCUCACCCUUCCCAGCCCUACUUUAUGAGCAACUAAAACUGAAAAGCUCAAUAGGACAGUUGAUCUCAUGCCUGGGCUGUUGAGCAUGAAGAAUCCAAUAAAAUGAACGCCAGAAACAUUAGCAUGGUUAUCGCCCAACAUGACUCAGGUAGAAAGAAGACUCGAGUGGUGUCUUUGGUGGCGGAAUCAUUAGCGGCUAGCCCACAACCAUCGUAAUGGGUAGCCAACCAACCUAAAAAUAUAAAAUUGAACAACAAAUCGGUAUCAGGAUCUGCCUUCAGAGGCUGAUCUCAAGAGGGAGUCAGAGAGAAAAAAAGAGCAAAAGAAAAAGAAAAACUAGAAAACCGAGUUUCUGUCUGGUGGAACACAGGCUGCAGUAGCUAUUCCGACAUUAAAAGUCCUUCCAAUUCAAGGUCGUUUCGGGUCGAAUACGGGACAAGUCGGUCAUGGAUCAGGAUAUUAGCGGGACACGUAUGAUGGGUCAACAUGUACGGGCCUGGUUAUGGAGCCAAAUAGCUUGAAUGGGUCGGAUAAGUGUUAAGUUAUAACAGAUCAGGAGUAUCAUGGUUGCCUUCUAUUUUGAGUAUCAUUAUGCCUAAUCUUAAAAAAUGUUUUGGAGUAAAUUAAACUGAUGGUCAGUGGAAUGGUCAAAGUUCAUAGAUGGUCAAGUGGAAAAGUCAUAUCAUUUCUUUGUUUAUUCAUCAUUGACUGUUUAAUCAUAUCUUAUUUUUAAUUAAU